AAAACUUUCAACAACGGAUCUCUUGGUUCCAGCAUCGAUGAAGAACGCAGCGAAAUGCGAAAAGUAAUGUGAAUUGCAGAAUUCCGUGAAUCAUCGAAUCUUUGAACGCACAUUGCGCCCCUUGGUAUUCCGGGGGGCAUGCCUGUUCGAGCGUCAUUG
rnacentral:rRNA from 1 species